GGGAUGCAGUCGGGUGGGCCCCGCCUGGUCCCUGACUGCCUGCCCCUGUGUCUGCAGCGCUCCUUCACCCUCAUCGUGGAGGCCUGGGACUGGGACAAUGACACCACCCCGGAUGGUGAGUCCUCUGGGAGCCGGGUGGCUGGGGCAGCCAGUUGCCUGCAGGGCCUCCCUCAGGACAUGGGGAGGCUACCCUCUUAGCCAGACGCGUGUGGCCAGAUUCCUGGUCCUCUGCCUGCUGGGGACAAAGACCCGUGACCCCGUACCCCAGGGGUCUAGUGUGCUGUCUCCCUCUUUGCCCUGGCUGCUAGGAAGCUGUGCCACAUUUGUGAUGUGCAGAGCUGUGCCUGGACCCUGACCCCAGUCCUGGCUUCUUCUGUUCUGUUCUCCCGAUGAGAUGUUUUCCCCAGGGCCAUGUCAGGCGCAUGGCGGAGUGGGCAUCCCUGAGAGGCUCUCUGCAUUUGCGGCCCCUCCUCUGCCUUUGUGUCCUGGAACGUGGGGGCUCGCUGGCCCUUCCCUGAGGCUCACGUGCCGGCCGGCCGGCCAGCCUGUGCAUGGGGUCUGUGGGCCUUAUGGUGACGGGGCAGAGGGCAGGAGCCGUGCAGGUGGCAGGGGUGAGCCGAUGUGUUUGUGAGCAGCGUGGGCCUGCACGGUGGGGGGUGACGAGGUCAGCGAGGCCAAAGUCAGGUCACAGAGGCUGCGCGGGCCCCCGUGAGGAUGCUGGCCUUUUCCUAGAGGCAGGAUCGCUCAGGCCACCGCGCGUAGGGUGGACUGUCUGGCCAGGGUGGAGGCCAGGGAGGAGGCCGCUGGGUGCCGGGCCCAGGGGCGGCCUGUGGGGCGAGCGGGGCCCUGGCCACGCCGAAGGUAGACGUCGUGAGAGAGAGGGUGGGGUCGGGAUGGCCCGAGGAGCAGGCGGGACGGAGGGCCAUCGCUGGGAUGGACGCUGUGAGGGUGAUGUCGCGAGGGCCCUCGGGUCCCCCGUCUGCCCGGAGGGCCCGGGCUCGGGGCAGUGGUCGGUGGGGAGCGGGUAGGUGUGGGGACGGGUCGGCCGGGCACCUUGGCCAGACGGGCUCAGUGGGCUGUGGGCUGUGAGGCCAGAGCGGGAGUGCUCCCCAGGCCCUUGAGUGGUGCAGCGGGAGGGAGAGUGAGGUGCCUGGGGCUCCCGAGCCUUUCAUUGUGGAAAACCCCAAAUCGGAACAGAAGCGUUGGGGGUGGCUCCCCCCCCCCCGCCCCGUGUGCCCACGGCUGUCAGCCUGCCCCCUCACCCCCUUGUGGCUUAAUUGGAAGCGAGGCCCAGCUGUGGGGUCACGGGACCCACGUGUGUCUCAGGGGCGGGAGAAGCUUUGUGUUAAGACGGUGUGGGGGGCGGCGGGCGGGGGGGGGGACGAACCCUCGAGAGGGAGGGCAGUCCAGCCGGCCCCGCCCCUGCAGAGCUGUGGUCCCCCCUCGGCCCCGCAGCCCCUGCGGCGGCCCGGCCAGCGUCCCCGUGGCCCCUGCUGACUCUGCCGCCCCCCCAAGAGGAGCUGCUGAUCGAGCGGGUGUCGCACGCGGGCAUGAUCAACCCCGAGGACCGCUGGAAGAGCCUGCACUUCAGCGGCCACGUGGCGCACCUGGAGCUGCAGAUCCGCGUGCGCUGCGACGAGAACUAUUACAGCGCCACGUGCAACAAGUUCUGCCGGCCGCGCGACGACUUCUUCGGCCACUACACCUGCGACCAGUAUGGCAACAAAGCCUGCAUGGACGGCUGGAUGGGCCGGGAGUGCAAGGAGGGUGAGUGCAGGCCGGGUGGGCAGCACUCGAGGGGCACGCGGGGGCGGGGGGCGGGUGCGGCGAGGGGGCAGCCCGUCGGGGCGCCGGGCGGAGGGCUGCAGGGUGCGGGCCGGCGGUGGGGCCGGCCUCGGCUGGCACCUCUCACGUCCUCUCUGUUCACAGCGGUGUGUAAACAGGGGUGUAAUCUGCUCCACGGGGGGUGUGCCGUGCCCGGGGAAUGCAGGUAAGUGCUUGGGGGCGACGGCGGUCCAGCGGGAUGUCAGGGACAGAGCCGAUGCCACGCGUGUCCAUGAGCCUGGGUGCACGUGUGCUCCUUCAGGAUCCCGUGGCAAGGGCCCGAAGACGGGUGCCCUCAGCACAGGAGGCACACAGGGCACCGGGGCUCAUGCUUGUGGCUGUGCGGGUGUCCCGGAGUGGAUUUGAGGUGGGGUCUGAGAAGACGAGUGGGGGGCUGGGGGAGGGGGGCGCAGGUCUUCCAGCCAGAGUUGCUGAGCAAGGGAGCUGCCGUGACUGAGGCCGCCGGCCUUGGGCAGAGCCGGCAGGGCAGAGAAAGGGAGGUGGCGUUGGGGGCGGUGUCUCUCCUGUUCUGGGAGACACCGCCAAAGCAGAGGGAUGGAUGUGGAGAGACCCAGCCUGACACACACGUGGGGAGACACAUGUCGUAGCACACGCAGGACAAGCUUGAGGGUCUAGGGCACCAGGACGGGACACAGGAUGCGCUGGGGGGUCGCGGGGGCACCAGGAUGUGACACAGGACGGGCUGGGGGUCGUGGGGGCACCAGGAGAAGACACGGGACGGGCUGGGGGGUCGUGGGGGCACCAGGAGAAGACACAGGACGGGCUGGGGGGUCGUGGGGGCACCAGGAGAAGACACAGGACAGGCUGGGCAUCGAGGGGGCCCCAGGAGAGUGAGAGAUCCCGUCAGCCUCCUGCAGACAGGGGAAGCCAGGGACAGGGUCAGGGGGCAGCAGGCAGGCAGAGGGGCGGGACGGCUGGAGGGCCCGGGGCCUGCGACUUGGAGGGGGCGUAGGGCGUAGAGCAGGGCCCUGGUACGGCGUGUGAGUGAGGGUGGGCGCAGAGGUGCACGGGCAGCCUGGGAGCCGGCUGCCCAGGUGGACGUACUCAGGGAGCCCCUGGGAGGGGCUGCCAGCUGUGGGCCGAGUAGGUGGGUCGGGGUGAGGGUGGCCCUGCCCUGGCUGCAGGGUGCAUUGGCCCCAGGACCUCACUCUGGGGGCGGGUGUGCUGUCACGUGCGUUUCGUAGACAAGGAUGUUGAGCAUGGAGAAGUCACUUCCCAGGUCACCCAGUGUUGAGACUGCACAGGAGGGUGCGGUUUGAGAGCUGGCUGGCUCGGGAGAUGGAAGAGGGGGGACCCAUCUGUGUGUCCUGUGGGGGUUCCAGCCCGGGAGGCGGUGUGAGGAGAGCCCGGAGGGUCCCAGGGCAAGGGGGGGGGCAGGCCCCCCGCCCCGCCGAGCCGUAUCCUGGGUCCGCCUGGGGCAGGGCCAUGCCCUGCAGCCCUGCCCUCUGGCCUGUGUGAUGGGUGUGAGCGUGGGGGCCGUGGGCAGACCAGUCCACGGGGAGGGGUGCGGCCGGGGUGCAGCAGGGCUGCCCCCUGGUGCCAUGCACCGCCUCGAUGCCACGCCAGCAGCCCUUGGUGGCCAGUGACCGGGCGACCAGGGUGGGAGGGAGGUGGGAGAGAAGUGGAUCUUUUCCCACCCCCUCCUGCUGCCGUGGGCCGUGGGGAGCAGUAGGUGAGCCCCCCACCACCCCUGUGGGUGGAGCGCAGCUGCUGCUGGAGGCUCAGGGCUCAGGUUUCAGUGCAGGACACCCCCCCCCCCCCCCCCACCGGAUGCUGCGGGAAUGGCUCUGCCUUCCUGCCGCCUCCUCCCUGGGCUUCUGGAGCCACAGGCCAGGGAAGCCAGGGAGGGUGGGGCCUGGUGAGCGCUGCCCCACCCAAGGCUGAGAGCACAUCCUCGGGACCUGCGGGGUCCUUCCUGGCGGGUGCCCCGCCCCCAGCCCCGGUCCCCUCUCGUCACCUGUAGGUAGGGAGGAUUCUGGGUGAGGACGUGCAGCCCAUGCAUGCACAGGCCCUCCUGGCAAGUGGGGGGCUGGGCGGUGGAGCCCCUCUUUCCAGCCUGGGUUUCCCCGUGUCUUGCCUGCUGAGCCUGUCGGCAUCCCUUGGCGGCGGGGCUUGUGGGCAGCUCAGGAAAAGGCCACCGCUCCUUCCUUUACAAAAAUAAACUCACAUGGCAGGUGCCAGCAUGGAGGGGACGUUGCCUCGAUGACCGUGCCAUGACCUUCCUGUUCUAGGAAGGGGGCCCCCGGGGGGCCUGUCCAGAGCCUGGAGGGUAGCCCGCUGAUCCCCGGGGGGCACUGCGGGACAAUGGGCUCUUUCUCCUGACUGCAGUGCCCCCAAGUCAGGCUCAGCUCUGGCGGGGCCACACCUGGGAUGGGACUGCACUGGUGGCCUGGGUGCCCUCUGUGCCCCAGCCGCCUGCCUCUCCUGAAGGACUUCCCAGAGAGAGCGUUGGCCCGUAGCUGAAGGCGGGGCUAGGCCUGGGGUCGUGGCCUUGGGGCCAAGAGGCCUCUCUGGGCUGUUGGCCAGGAAGCGGGUGAGUCCUCCUGGGUCAGGAACUGCUCUGAAUCUGAGCGUGGCCUCUCGCACUGCUGGCUCGGGGCCGGGGGUGGGCCUCUGCAUCCCCCAUCUGUGAGAUGGGUCUUCGAUAGGGUUUUGCUGGCAGAGAGGUUGCCGCCCUUGAGUUGCAGGUGAGGUCACACGCUGUGCCCGGGGUCUCGCAGGGGGGCUGAGCCUGGAGCUCUCCCCUGGUGUCCCAGCAGCCCGCCUGGCCCCGGGUGCCGCCCAGCCCUGGCAGCUCCUGGAGCGCUUGAGCUGGCACCGUCGCUCCUGGGGUCCCCGCGGGGCCUUCCUUUCUCAGCGCCUGCUCUUGGGGCCCUGCUCAGGGGUGAGUCCCAAAAUAGCUCGGGGGGGGGGAGUGGCUGGGCAGCUGCGGCCGGCCAUCCGAGGCCAGCGGCCGGGAAGUGCCCGUGACGGUGCGGGCUGGCUGGCGGGCCGUCACCCCCGCCCGGCGCGGGGCCUGCCUCGGUUCAGAGGCCGAGGCCGCCGGCCCCCCCCCCCCCCCCGGGGUGGCCCACGUGACCGCGCCCACGUCCGGGCCUCCCCCGCAGCGGCCACGGCUCCUGGAGUCCACCCUCCCCCACCGGGCCUCGUGCCUCUCGGCCUAAUGCAGGUGCAGCUACGGCUGGCAGGGGCGGUUCUGCGACGAGUGCGUCCCAUACCCUGGCUGUGUCCACGGCAGCUGUGUGGAUCCCUGGCAGUGCAAUUGUG
rnacentral:lncRNA from 1 species